AAAGAGAUGCGAAGCCGCGAGGUGGAGCGAACCUCAUAAAAAUGGUCUCAGUUCGGGAUUGGAGUCUGCCAACUCGACUCCAUGAAGUCGGAAUCGCUAGUAAUCGCGGGUCAGCAGACCGCGGUGAAUACCGGUUCCCGGGUUUU
rnacentral:rRNA from 1 species